CAGUCGCCGCGGGAAUACAGAGGAUGCAAGCGUUAUCCGGAAUGAUUGGGCGUAAAGCGUCUGUAGGUGGCGUGACAAGUCGGGUGUGAAAGCCCUCAGCUCAACUGAGGAAGUGCGCCCGAAACUGUCGUGCUUGAGUGCCGGAGAGGGUGGCGGAAUUCCCCAAGUAGAGGUGAAAUUCGUAGAUAUGGGGAGGAACACCGGUGGCGAAGGCGGCCACCUGGACGGUAACUGACGCUGAGACGCGAAAGCGUGGGGAGCAAACAGGAUUAGAUACCCGAGUAGUCCCUGUCUCUUAUAC
rnacentral:rRNA from 1 species